rnacentral:rRNA from 1 species
UACGAAGGGUGCUAGCGUUGCUCGGAAUUACUGGGCGUAAAGCGCACGUAGGCGGCUUUCUAAGUCAGGGGUGAAAUCCUGGAGCUCAACUCCAGAACUGCCUUCGAUACUGGAGAGCUUGAGUCCGGGAGAGGUGAGUGGAACUGCGAGUGUAGAGGUGAAAUUCGUAGAUAUUCGCAAGAACACCAGUGGCGAAGGCGGCUCACUGGCCCGGUACUGACGCUGAGGUGCGAAGGUCAGGGGAGCAAACGGG